rnacentral:rRNA from 1 species
UGGGGAAUUUUGGACAAUGGGCGAAAGCCUGAUACAGCAAUGCCGCGUGUGUGAAGAAGGCCUUCGGGUUGUAAAGCACUUUUGUCCGGAAAGAAAUGGCUCUGGUUAAUACCUGGGGUCGAUGACGGUACCGGAAGAAUAAGGACCGGCUAACUACGUGCCAGCAGCCGCGGUAAUACGUAGGGUCCAAGCGUUAAUCGGAAUUACUGGGCGUAAAGCGUGCGCAGGCGGUUGUGCAAGACCGAUGUGAAAUCCCCGAGCUUAACUUGGGAAUUGCAUUGGUGACUGCACGGCUAGAGUGUGUCAGAGGGGGGGAGAAUUCCACGUGUAGCAGUGAAAUGCGUAGAGAUGUGGAGGAAUACCGAUGGCGAAGGCAGCCCCCUGGGAUAACACUGACGCUCAUGCACGAAAGCGUGGGGAGCAAACAGG